AGCUUUGUGGUGUAGGCACAUCAGAUUGCAAAUCUGAAGGCGCGGAAUAAUACCCGCCAAGGCU
rnacentral:tRNA from 1 species